GACGAACGCUGGCGGUGUGCUUAACACAUGCAAGUGGAGCGACGAACCAGGGCUUGCCCUGGGGCAGAGCCGCGAACGGGUGAGUAACACGUGGGUAACCUACCCCGAUGACCGGGACAACCCGAGGAAACUCGGGCUAAUACCGGAUGUGUCCCAUCUUCACGAGAGGAUGGAGCAAAGGAAGCUUCGGCCUCCGCAUUGGGAGGGGCCCGCGGCCCAUUAGCUAGUUGGUGGGGUAAUGGCCUACCAAGGCAGCGAUGGGUAGCUGGUCUGAGAGGACGAUCAGCCACACUGGGACUGAGACACGGCCCAGACUCCUACGGGAGGCAGCAGUGGGGAAUCUUGCGCAAUGGGCGAAAGCCUGACGCAGCGACGCCGCGUGAGGGAUGACGGCCUUCGGGUUGUAAACCGUCUUUCUAGCUCCGACGAAGCGAAAGUGACGGUAGGAGCAGAAGAAGCACCGGCCAA
rnacentral:rRNA from 1 species